UUUAAACACCCGGAGCAAUGCGCGGACACUUUUACUAGUGGUACAAAUACUAAAAUUCAAUUUUCUGGCACUCUUCAUUAAAAGUGAAAUGGCGAAAAUACCCUCGACUUCUUCUUUGCUCUGUGUACUGUUUCCACUUCUACAGUGGAAAGUCGGCUGUGCUCUUCCCAGCCACGCGUCUUUCAUCGUUUGUUUCUCUGCUUCGACCGUCUCUUUUUCGCUUUUACCCUUCCUCUUCGUUUUUCACCACAUUACCCUUCUCGUCAGCCCGUCUUUUGCUCUCAAAUCCCUUCUUUUACUUUCGCAAAAUAGUCUCACAAGAGAUCCUGCGUUUGAAUUUUUUUUUUUUUUUUUUUUUUUUUUUUUGGAUUUGGAUUCCAGUCUCUCCCGGUAUUGAAUCCUUUGCUAUUCGGCGUUUUGUUCUCAUCUUGCCAUCGUCGGGGCAAGAACUUUAAGGUUGGGACAAAUUUUUUGUGAAAUUAUUGACAAAGAAAUUAUAUUGAACUUUGGUAAGUUUUAAAACAACUACGAGUAAUUUUCGAUUCUCAGUUUGUAUUUGUUUGAAAAAAAACCCAGAAAAUUGGUUCUCUCUGUGUUCUCAAUUGAUUCAAAGCAUAGCAUUGGAAAAAAUAUGUAAUUAUUGGGGGUUUUUGUUUUUGGUGGAUUUAGAAUUUUGUCUAAGUUUUAUUAUAUUGGAGUUGAAUUUGGUUGCU